CUAACAAAGCAAAUCCCUCAAGCAAGAAAGGAGUUCUCAGGGCAGUGCCCAGAUCUGGGGAGUAGGCUGCCUUUGCCAAAGCCCUGGUGGGUGCAGACCUAGCGCCUUUAAAGGACCCGUGCAGGGGAUCCAGGAGGAUUCAGUACCUGUCAGUGUUUCUCCUCUGCAGUGUGUCUCUCUCCUGGAGUUAGCCACAGAGCCUCCCAAGUCCAGAGCAGAGACCUGACCCUGCAGACUCAAAUGCUUAUAUCUGCUGAGGUUGGUGAUGUUUGGGGGCGGGGCAUUGUGUAAGAGGCAGAGGGAAACCCCACGAUUGCAUUUACGUGGACUAGGAAACCCAUCUCUGCAUAGGGAAUCCUGGAUGACUAUGAGUGAGUGGGGUGGAUUGAGGGGAGGGAGAAGGUUCUUCAGUUUGGUAAAGGGUGAUGUGUGGUGAAGCCCCUGGCCCUCAACAGGGAAAAGAAUAAGUUCCCUGUCCCUUGUUUCGCAUGUGAAGGCGAGAAAACCACCGAAGUCUGAAUUAGCCUUGUGGGCUUCCACCGAAGCCUGAAUCAGCCUUGUGGGCUUCCUGUCUAUCUGCCCUCAUAGAGCACUUGGGACAGAUGGUACCUACUGAUUAGCUGGCACAGCUGAGCCUUGCAUGAGCACCCUGCAAAACCAGACCUAGUUUGCUUAAAGCUGCCUGAAACCGCUUCCUGCAGUAAAGAAUGUGUGUAUGUGUGUGUAUGCUUAACCCAGAGUAUGGGAGGAUAUAUAAAAGGGGGGGUAAAAAUAAAAUCUCUCUCUCCUGGAUGAAGAA